rnacentral:ncRNA from 1 species
CGAAGAGCUUUGACGAAGAGGAGUACCUAUGAUUGACACUUCAGAGAGCUGGUGGUUGGUGUGAACCAGUGUGAUCGGUCUUAGGGAAUGGACUUCCGAGCUUCCAAACCGAAACCUUAGGGAAGUAGGCUUUGGCGAAUGUCUUAUCGUUACAAAAGACGCGUAUUAGAGCAUUCUGCUCCGAUACGAUUGAGUGGACUGCAUGAGCAGUCAACAAAGGUGGCACCACGGGUAUCCCGUCCUUUCU